UCGACCUCACAUCAGGCGAGACA
rnacentral:rRNA from 2 species